AUUGAACGCUGGCGGCAUGCCUAACACAUGCAAGUCGAGCGGUAGCAGGGAGCUUGCUCCUGGCGUCAGCGGCGGGCGGGUGUGUUACGCCUAAAAGUGUGCCUGCGAGGGGGGUAUAACGUCCGGAGAGUAGCGCUAAUCCCACAUGCGCCCUGGGUGAAAGCGGGGGGCAGCUUCGCACCGCACGCUUUCAGCUGACCCUAGGUCGGAUUAGGUAGUUGGUGGGGUAAAGGCCUACCAAGGCCACGAUCCGUAGCUGGUCUGAGAGGACGAACAGCCACACUGGAACUGAGACACGGCCCAGACUCCUACGGGAGGCAGCAGUGGGGAAUUUUGGACAAUGGGCGAAAGCCUGAUCCAGCCAUGCCGCGUGUGGGAAGAAGGUCUUCGGAUUGUAAACUGCUUUUGUAUGGGACGAAACGGAGUUAGUUAAUACCUUGCGGUAUUGACGUUACCGAAAGAAUAAGCACCGGCUAACUACGUG
rnacentral:rRNA from 1 species